rnacentral:lncRNA from 13 species
AUAAUUUAUGUUAAAAUCACUUCUAAAUUGGUUCAGGUUCACUGAUUCACAAACACUAUACCACACAAUCUAAAUAUCAAGCCUACAAACCAAAAUAACAACAACUAAAUGAGCAACACUGUGUAGGUAUUCAACAGAGUUAGCAUAAGAAUUAGCAAGUUCAGCUACUUACAGAAACCUCUGGUAUUUUCAAUACAAAUAACAACCAGCUGAAUUUGUCAUGUUGUCUUGUCUCUGUCCUUUCCCUUCACCCUGUCUCCCUCUGCUGGUCGUUGUUAUGUUACCUUUUCUCCCCCUCUUUUCCCCAGCUGUGCCUUGUCUCCUCCUAAUUACCCAUUCACCCCGUUCCCCACCUGUUCCCUUUUUCCCUCUGAUUAGGUCCCUAUAUCUGUUUCUGCUCCUGUCCUUGUCGGAUUCUUGUUUGUUUGUUUAUGUGUCUCAUGCCUGAACCAGACUAUCAUCGUGUGUGCUGCAACCUUGUCCUGUCCUGUCGGAAUCUACCUGUCCAUCUGAGCCCACGUAUGUUCGUCAUUAAAGUACUCUGUUUGUUAAUUCGCUUUUGGGUCCUCAUUCACGCACCAUAACAGAAUUACAGUAUAGCCAAUGGUGAGGAUCCCCUAACUGAAGAGCCCUACUGGGCGUAAUAGGUGGUAUAUCAACACAAUAAACAAACAGUAGCCUGCCUUCUAGAAAGUAAGACUGUACAUUGCACAGCUCCAGUGACUGAGCAGCUCCCUGUCCAUGUUUAAGAAAGAGAGCUUGCCUGUGCUGUGGGUCUAAAUAUACUUUGACAGGCAGUGUCCAUUUCCAUGUCCUCUCUUCUCAUAUACCUGUCUGCCUACCGUACAUCCUCCUAUCCGCCCCCAUGAGGUAGUCGUCAAACUAGAGCCUGCCUGCCUGCCUCUAGCCUGCUCACAGUCACUCUCAGACUCAAACACUGCACUCAUAAUACCCACAAAUCAGCUUCCUAAAAACAACUGACAAACUAAAUCAACCAUCUGUUUUAAUCAGGCCACACAAGAAAUACCUCUACUUGACGAAGAGAAAGUCUUAGUUAUUUGACAACUGGUUUAACACUAUAAAUCACUGCGUCAUGUCACAAUAUAAUGAGAGCUCCCUGGUGUCUAAUUGAAGAGUUAUUACCAGCUGCUGUAAUAAGGCCAUACACAGAGAAUUACCCCAUCUUGACGAGCAGAGUCUCACAGUUUCUCAAUGUUACAAUGCGUUAGGAGCUGAUUUAAAAACUGUCAGCGUGUGUCAUGACUCUUGCGAGGCUAAUUUAAAGAGAAUUCCUGGGUUUCUCACUAAAAGCCAUUUAUUUUCAAAGGCUGCCAUAGACUUGAAUUAGCUGAUUUUGAUCAGUGUUAUUCUACAGGUUAUGACAUUGGGGCGCUUCAACAACAACCAGUCAUCUGAAGGGUAAGUAAAAACUUUGGGAUUGCUACAUGCAGGGCUUGACUUUGACUGAAAUAGGUGCUGGUACUCGUGUUGGGUGCCGGUACUGUUUAUAUUUAGGUGAAGGAGUUCCACAAUAUGUUUGAGCUAAUAUUCUAUAAGAGGAACAGGAGCUUAAGCAGUAGAACAUAUGUGUUCCGGUGAGCUCCAGCCCAACAUGAUUCCAGGUGGGAUUACGGAAUACUCAUGUCUUCUUAAAAUACACAGGUAUGUUUCAUGAAGGGCAAGGCAGCCAUCUAUCUCCUGGCCUUCUACGGCAGAAAAAACAACAAGCUGACGAGCAUUGAGCCUCAGCCUAGUACAUAGCUCACAUUCCACACCAGGAUUAAACAAUGGAGUCAGCCGUUGGUAGGUCAACAGAGCCCUGUGAGCGAUGAGCCAACUCCCACCAAUGACAGCGCAGGGAAAGCAGGGAUCGGCUAGAUUCAGCCGCGGGACGUUUUUUUAAAUUUAUUUUUUGCUUUUGAGCGGAUGGUCAGGACUCCAGAACAUACACUGACCAAAAAUAUAAACGCAACAUGCAACAAUUUCAAAGAUUUUACCUAGUUACAGUUCAUAUAAGGAAAUCAGUCAAUUGAAAUCAAUUGAUUAGGCUCAAAUCUAUGUAUUUCACAUCAGCAGGAGUACAGAUAUGCUUCUGUUUGUCACAGAUACCUUUUAAAAAAUAGGUUAGGGGCGUGAAUCAGAAAACCGGUCAGUAUUUACUGUGACCACCAUUUGCCUCAUGCAGAACGGCACAUCUCCUUCCCAUAGAGUUGAUCAGGCUAUUGAUUGUGGCCUGUGGAAUGUUGUCCCACUCCUCUUCAAUGGCUGUGUGAAGUUGCGGGAACUGGAACACGCUAUCGUACACGUUGAUCCAGACAGAGCAUCCUAAACAGAUGGUAAGCUACAGGACUGUUUUGCUAAUACAGACUGGAAUAUGUUCCGGGAUUACACCACAUCAGUCAUUGGCUUCAUCAAUUAGUGCAUUGAUGACGUCGUCCCCACUGUGACCGUUCGUACAUACGCAAUCCAGAAGCCAUGGAUUACAGGCAACAUCUGCACUGAGUUAAAGGCUAGAGCUGCCGCUUUCAAGGGGCAGGACUCUAACCCAGAAGCUUAUAAGAAAUCCCGCUAUGACCUCCGACGAACCAUCAAAUAGGCAAAGUGUCAAUACAGGACUAAGAUUGAAUCGUACUACUCCGGCUCUGACGCUCGUCGGAUGUGGCAGGGCUUGCAAACCACAACAGACUAUAAAGGGAAGAACAGCCGAGAGCUGCCCAGUGACACGAGCCUACCAAACGAGCUAAACUACUUCUAUGCUCGCUUCGAGGCAAAUAACACUGAAACAUGCAUGAGAGCACCAGCUGUUCCGGAAGACUGUGUGAUCACGCUCUCCGCAGCCAAUGUGAGUUAGACCUUUAAACAGGUCAACAUUCACAAGGCCACAGGGCCAGACGGAUUACCAGGACGUGUACUGCGAGGAUGCGCUGACGAACUGGCAAGUUUCUUCACUGACAUUUUCAACCUCUCCAUGUCCAAGUCUGUAAUAUGAACAUGUUUUAAGCAGACCACCAUAGUCCCUGUGCCCAAGAACACUAAGGUAACAUGCCUAAAUGACAACCGACUCGUAGCACUCACGUCUGUAGCUAUGACGUGCUUUGAAAGGCUGGUCAUGGGUCACAUCAACGCCAUUAUCCCAGAAACCCUAGACCCACUCCAAUUUGCAUACCGCACUAACAGAUCCACAGAUGAUGCAAUCUCUAUUGCACUCCACACUGCCCUUUCCCACCUG